AGUGAACGCUGGCGGUAGGCCUAACACAUGCAAGUCGAACGGCAGCACAGUAAGAGCUUGCUCUUACGGGUGGCGAGUGGCGGACGGGUGAGGAAUACAUCGGAAUCUACUUUUUCGUGGGGGAUAACGUAGGGAAACUUACGCUAUUACCGCAUACGACCUACGGGUGAAAGCAGGGGAUCUUCGGACCUUGCGCGAUUGAAUGAGCCGAUGUCGGAUUAGCUAGUUGGCGGGGUAAAGGCCCACCAAGGCGACGAUCCGUAGCUGGUCUGAGAGGAUGAUCAGCCACACUGGAACUGAGACACGGUCCAGACUCCUACGGGAGGCAGCAGUGGGGAAUAUUGGACAAUGGGCGAAAGCCUGAUCCAGCCAUACCGCGUGGGUGAAGAAGGCCUUCGGGUUGUAAAGCCCUUUUGUUGGGAAAGAAAAGCAGCAGGUUAAUACCCCGCUGUUCUGACGGUACCCAAAGAAUAAGCACCGGCUAACUUCGUG
rnacentral:rRNA from 1 species